rnacentral:tRNA from 1 species
AUUUCUGUCGUGUAGGGGAUAGCGCGCUAGACUUUCAACCCAGAGAUCAUAGGUUCGAAUCCUACCAGCGAUG